GGUUAAGCGACUAAGCGUACACGGUGGAUGCCCUGGCAGUCAGAGGCGAUGAAGGACGUGCUAAUCUGCGAAAAGCGUCGGUAAGGUGAUAUGAACCGUUAUAACCGGCGAUGUCCGAAUGGGGAAACCCAGUGCAAUUCGUUGCACUAUCGUUAACUGAAUACAUAGGUUAACGAGGCGAACCGGGGGAACUGAAACAUCUAAGUACCCCGAGGAAAAGAAAUCAACCGAGAUUCCCCCAGUAGCGGCGAGCGAACGGGGAGCAGCCCAGAGUCUGAAUCAGCUUGUGUGUUAGUGGAACGGUCUGGAAAGUCCGACGGUACAGGGUGAUAGUCCCGUACACCAAAAUGCACAGGCUGUGAACUCGAAGAGUAGGGCGGGACACGUGGUAUCCUGUCUGAAUAUGGGGGGACCAUCCUCCAAGGCUAAAUACUCCUGACUGACCGAUAGUGAACCAGUACCGUGAGGGAAAGGCGAAAAGAACCCCGGCGAGGGGAGUGAAAAAGAACCUGAAACCGUGUACGUACAAGCAGUGGGAGCACCUUCGGGUGUGACUGCGUACCUUUUGUAUAAUGGGUCAGCGACUUAUAUUCUGUAGCAAGGUUAACCGUAUAGGGGAGCCGCAGGGAAACCGAGUCUUAACUGGGCGUUAAGUUGCAGGGUAUAGACCCGAAACCCGGUGAUCUAGCCAUGGGCAGGUUGAAGGUUGGGUAACACUAACUGGAGGACCGAACCGACUAAUGUUGAAAAAUUAGCGGAUGACUUGUGGCUGGGGGUGAAAGGCCAAUCAAACCGGGAGAUAGCUGGUUCUCCCCGAAAGCUAUUUAGGUAGCGCCUCGUGAAUUCAUCUUCGGGGGUAGAGCACUGUUUCGGCUAGGGGGUCAUCCCGACUUACCAACCCGAUGCAAACUACGAAUACCGAAGAAUGUUAUCACGGGAGACACACGGCGGGUGCUAACGUCCGUCGUGAAGAGGGAAACAACCCAGACCGCCAGCUAAGGUCCCAAAGUCAUGGUUAAGUGGGAAACGAUGUGGGAAGGCACAGACAGCCAGGAUGUUGGCUUAGAAGCAGCCAUCAUUUAAAGAAAGCGUAAUAGCUCACUGGUCGAGUCGGCCUGCGCGGAAGAUGUAACGGGGCUAAACCAUGCACCGAAGCUGCGGCAGCGACACUAUGUGUUGUUGGGUAGGGGAGCGUUCUGUAAGCCUGCGAAGGUGACCUGUGAGGGUUGCUGGAGGUAUCAGAAGUGCGAAUGCUGACAUAAGUAACGAUAAAGCGGGUGAAAAGCCCGCUCGCCGGAAGACCAAGGGUUCCUGUCCAACGUUAAUCGGGGCAGGGUGAGUCGACCCCUAAGGCGAGGCCGAAAGGCGUAGUCGAUGGGAAACAGGUUAAUAUUCCUGUACUUGGUGUUACUGCGAAGGGGGGACGGAGAAGGCUAUGUUAGCCGGGCGACGGUUGUCCCGGUUUAAGCAUGUAGGCUGGUUGUCCAGGCAAAUCCGGAUAAUCAAGGCUGAGGUGUGAUGACGAGGCACUACGGUGCUGAAGUAACAAAUGCCCUGCUUCCAGGAAAAGCCUCUAAGCAUCAGGUAACAUCAAAUCGUACCCCAAACCGACACAGGUGGUCAGGUAGAGAAUACCAAGGCGCUUGAGAGAACUCGGGUGAAGGAACUAGGCAAAAUGGUGCCGUAACUUCGGGAGAAGGCACGCUGGUGUGUAGGUGAAGUCCCUGCGGAUGGAGCUGAGACCAGUCGAAGAUACCAGCUGGCUGCAACUGUUUAUUAAAAACACAGCACUGUGCAAACACGAAAGUGGACGUAUACGGUGUGACGCCUGCCCGGUGCCGGAAGGUUAAUUGAUGGGGUUAUCCGUAAGGAGAAGCUCUUGAUCGAAGCCCCGGUAAACGGCGGCCGUAACUAUAACGGUCCUAAGGUAGCGAAAUUCCUUGUCGGGUAAGUUCCGACCUGCACGAAUGGCGUAAUGAUGGCCAGGCUGUCUCCACCCGAGACUCAGUGAAAUUGAACUCGCUGUGAAGAUGCAGUGUACCCGCGGCAAGACGGAAAGACCCCGUGAACCUUUACUAUAGCUUGACACUGAACAUUGAGCCUUGAUGUGUAGGAUAGGUGGGAGGCUUUGAAGCGUGGACGCCAGUCUGCGUGGAGCCAACCUUGAAAUACCACCCUUUAAUGUUUGAUGUUCUAACGUUGGCCCCUGACCGGGGUUGCGGACAGUGUCUGGUGGGUAGUUUGACUGGGGCGGUCUCCUCCCAAAGCGUAACGGAGGAGCACGAAGGUUAGCUAAUCCUGGUCGGACAUCAGGAGGUUAGUGCAAUGGCAUAAGCUAGCUUGACUGCGAGCGUGACGGCGCGAGCAGGUGCGAAAGCAGGUCAUAGUGAUCCGGUGGUUCUGAAUGGAAGGGCCAUCGCUCAACGGAUAAAAGGUACUCCGGGGAUAACAGGCUGAUACCGCCCAAGAGUUCAUAUCGACGGCGGUGUUUGGCACCUCGAUGUCGGCUCAUCACAUCCUGGGGCUGAAGUAGGUCCCAAGGGUAUGGCUGUUCGCCAUUUAAAGUGGUACGCGAGCUGGGUUUAGAACGUCGUGAGACAGUUCGGUCCCUAUCUGCCGUGGGCGCUGGAGAAUUGAGGGGGGCUGCUUCUAGUACGAGAGGACCGGAGUGGACGCAUCACUGGUGUUCGGGUUGUCAUGCCAAUGGCACUGCCCGGUAGCUAAAUGCGGAAGAGAUAAGUGCUGAAAGCAUCUAAGCACGAAACUUGCCCCGAGAUGAGUUCUCCCUGAGACUUUAAGUCUCCUGAAGGAACGUUAAAGACGAUGACGUUGAUAGGCCGGGUGUGUAAGCGCAGCGAUGCGUUGAGCUAACCGGUACUAAUGAACCGUGAGGCUUAACCUUAC
rnacentral:rRNA from 1 species